rnacentral:rRNA from 1 species
GGUGCUUGCACUGGGGAUUAGUGGCGAACGGGUGAGUAACACGUGAGUAACCUGCCCUUGACUCUGGGAUAAGCCUGGGAAACUGGGUCUAAUACCGGAUAUGACCUUCCAUCGCAUGGUGGUUGGUGGAAAGCUUUUGUGGUUUUGGAUGGACUCGCGGCCUAUCAGCUUGUUGGUGGGGUAAUGGCCUACCAAGGCGACGACGGGUAGCCGGCCUGAGAGGGUGACCGGCCACACUGGGACUGAGACACGGCCCAGACUCCUACGGGAGGCAGCAGUGGGGAAUAUUGCACAAUGGGCGGAAGCCUGAUGCAGCGACGCCGCGUGAGGGAUGACGGCCUUCGGGUUGUAAACCUCUUUCAGUAGGGAAGAAGCGAAAGUGACGGUACCUGCAGAAGAAGCGCCGGCUAACUACGUGCCAGCAGCCGCGGUAAUACGUAGGGCGCAAGCGUUAUCCGGAAUUAUUGGGCGUAAAGAGCUCGUAGGCGGUUUGUCGCGUCUGCCGUGAAAGUCCGGGGCUCAACUCCGGAUCUGCGGUGGGUACGGGCAGACUAGAGUGAUGUAGGGGAGACUGGAAUUCCUGGUGUAGCGGUGAAAUGCGCAGAUAUCAGGAGGAACACCGAUGGCGAAGGCAGGUCUCUGGGCAUUAACUGACGCUGAGGAGCGAAAGCAUGGGGAGCGAACAGGAUUAGAUACCCUGGUAGUCCAUGCCGUAAACGUUGGGCACUAGGUGUGGGGGACAUUCCACGUUUUCCGCGCCGUAGCUAACGCAUUAAGUGCCCCGCCUGGGGAGUACGGCCGCAAGGCUAAAACUCAAAGGAAUUGACGGGGGCCCGCACAAGCGGCGGAGCAUGCGGAUUAAUUCGAUGCAACGCGAAGAACCUUACCAAGGCUUGACAUGAACCGGUAAUACCUGGAAACAGGUGCCCCACUUUGUGGUCGGUUUACAGGUGGUGCAUGGUUGUCGUCAGCUCGUGUCGUGAGAUGUUGGGUUAAGUCCCGCAACGAGCGCAACCCUCGUUCUAUGUUGCCAGCACGUGAUGGUGGGGACUCAUAGGAGACUGCCGGGGUCAACUCGGAGGAAGGUGGGGACGACGUCAAAUCAUCAUGCCCCUUAUGUCUUGGGCUUCACGCAUGCUACAAUGGCCGGUACAAAGGGUUGCGAUACUGUGAGGUGGAGCUAAUCCCAAAAAGCCGGUCUCAGUUCGGAUUGGGGUCUGCAACUCGACCCCAUGAAGUCGGAGUCGCUAGUAAUCGCAGAUCAGCAACGCUGCGGUGAAUACGUUCCCGGGCCUUGUACACACCGCCCGUCAAGUCACGAAAGUUGGUAACACCCGAAGCCGGUGGCCUAACCC